rnacentral:misc_RNA from 1 species
CGUCGAAGGUGGGGCUGAUGACUGGGGUGAAGUCGUAACAAGGUAUCCGUACCGGAAGGUGCGGAUGGAUCACCUCCUAACAGGGAGACAACACAAUGAUUUUGAUGCCUGAGUGCUUUUAUUCUUAGGCCGAAAUCCUGUCACCUUAGGUCGAUCGGUACCUCAGCUUUGAAGUUAAGGAUCAGCAGCAAUGUUGAUUGCUUGAUGGAGAUUUUCAGUUCCUAAACUUUGUCUAGGUCACACCCCAAAAGGGAUGAGACUCCUGGGCCAUUAGCUCAGGUGGUUAGAGCGCACCCCUGAUAAGGGUGAGGUCCCUGGUUCAAGUCCAGGAUGGCCCAUUCGGUGUUGGGGGUUUAGCUCAGUUGGUAGAGCGCCUGCUUUGCAAGCAGGAUGUCAGGAGUUCGAGUCUCCUAACCUCCACUGACCGAACUUGAUUCCCAUCUCCAAUUUUUUUGGAGUUGAGCUCGAUUGGAGUGUGAUUUAGAUGUGUCCGCUGGAUGACCCCAGCUUCCUGUCAUUCCAAGUUUUAGGUUGAUGCCUUGAAUUUGGUUGAUAAGAUGCUGGGCUCGGAUCAAAUGAUCAAGAAAUUGAUGAUUUGAUUUGAAGUUCUAGCAGAACCUUGACAACUGCAUAGGUGAGUCUGGAAAAAACAAAGCAUCUUACAGAUGCAUUGUUUUGAAUCUGAUCUUCUGAAAGGGAGAUUAGAUCUAGAACAAUGAAAAUUCUUUUGAGCAAGAGCCGAGACUCUUGAGCGUUCUUUGAUUGGUGUCGAGCCAAUCAGAGUUUGAUCUUGUUUUUAGCAAUAAAAACUUGAGAAUCUGCUUUCAACGGCGGUAAGCGUUUAAGAGGUUAAUUGGUCAAGCUACAAAGGGCUCACGGC